AUUGAACGCUGGCGGCAUGCUUUACACAUGCAAGUCGAACGGUAACAGGCCGCAAGGUGCUGACGAGUGGCGAACGGGUGAGUAAUGCAUCGGAACGUGCCCAGUCGUGGGGGAUAACUACUCGAAAGAGUAGCUAAUACCGCAUACGAUCUAUGGAUGAAAGCGGGGGACCGUAAGGCCUCGCGCGAUUGGAGCGGCCGAUGUCAGAUUAGGUAGUUGGUGGGGUAAAGGCUCACCAAGCCAACGAUCUGUAGCUGGUCUGAGAGGACGACCAGCCACACUGGGGCUGAGACACGGCCCAGACUCCUACGGGAGGCAGCAGUGGGAAAUUUUGGACAAUGGGCGCAAGCCUGAUCCAGCAAUGCCGCGUGCAGGAAGAAGGCCUUCGGGUUGUAAACUGCUUUUGUACGGAACGAAACGGCUCUGGUUAAUACCCGGGGCUAAUGACGGUACCGUAAGAAUAAGCACCGGUUAACUACGUG
rnacentral:rRNA from 1 species